rnacentral:rRNA from 1 species
GAUGAACGCUGGCGGCGUGCCUAAUACAUGCCAGUCGAGCGAACAGACGAGGAGCUUGCUCCUCUGACGUUAGCGGCGGACGGGUGAGUAACACGUGGAUAACCUACCUAUAAGACUGGGAUAACUUCGGGAAACCGGAGCUAAUACCGGAUAAUAUAUUGAACCGCAUGGUUCAAUAGUGAAAGACGGUUUUGCUGUCACUUAUAGAUGGAUCCGCGCCGCAUUAGCUAGUUGGUAAGGUAACGGCUUACCAAGGCAACGAUGCGUAGCCGACCUGAGAGGGUGAUCGGCCACACUGGAACUGAGACACGGUCCAGACUCCUACGGGAGGCAGCAGUAGGGAAUCUUCCGCAAUGGGCGAAAGCUUGACGGAGCAACGCCGCGUGAGUGAUGAAGGUCUUCGGAUCGUAAAACUCUGUUAUUAGGGAAGAAAAAAUGUGUAAGUAACUAUGCACGUCUUGACGGUACCUAAUCAGAAAGCCACGGCUAACUACGUG